rnacentral:rRNA from 1 species
UGGGGAAUAUUGGACAAUGGGCGAAAGCCUGAUCCAGCAAUGCCGCGUGAGUGAUGAAGGCCUUAGGGUUGUAAAGCUCUUUUACCAGGGAUGAUAAUGACAGUACCUGGAGAAUAAGCUCCGGCUAACUCCGUGCCAGCAGCCGCGGUAAUACGGAGGGAGCUAGCGUUGUUCGGAAUUACUGGGCGUAAAGCGCACGUAGGCGGCUACUCAAGUCAGAGGUGAAAGCCCGGGGCUCAACCCCGGAACUGCCUUUGAAACUAGGUAGCUAGAAUUCUGGAGAGGUCAGUGGAAUUCCGAGUGUAGAGGUGAAAUUCGUAGAUAUUCGGAAGAACACCAGUGGCGAAGGCGACUGACUGGACAGAUAUUGACGCUGAGGUGCGAAAGCGUGGGGAGCAAACA